rnacentral:rRNA from 1 species
AUUGAACGCUGGCGGCAUGCCUUACACAUGCAAGUCGAACGGCAGCACGGGAGCAAUCCUGGUGGCGAGUGGCGAACGGGUGAGUAAUAUAUCGGAACGUGCCCAGUCGUGGGGGAUAACGUAGCGAAAGCUACGCUAAUACCGCAUACGAUCUAUGGAUGAAAGCGGGGGAUCGCAAGACCUCGCGCGAUUGGAGCGGCCGAUAUCAGAUUAGGUAGUUGGUGAGGUAAAGGCUCGCCAAGCCGACGAUCUGUAGCUGGUCUGAGAGGACGGACCAGCCACACUGGGACUGAGACACGGCCCAGACUCCUACGGGAGGCAGCAGUGGGGAAUUUUUGGGACAAUGGGCGCAAGCCUGAUCCAGCAAUGCCGCGUGCAGGAUGAAGGCC